rnacentral:rRNA from 1 species
UACGUAGGGUCCGAGCGUUGUCCGGAAUUAUUGGGCGUAAAGGGCUCGUAGGCGGUCUGUUGCGUCGGGAGUGAAAACUUACAGCUUAACUGUGAGCGUGCUUUCGAUACGGGCAAACUUGAGGCAUUCAGGGGAGAACGGAAUUCCUGGUGUAGCGGUGAAAUGCGCAGAUAUCAGGAGGAACACCGGUGGCGAAGGCGGUUCUCUGGGAAUGUCCUGACGCUGAGGAGCGAAAGUGUGGGGAGCGAACAGG